GAUGAACGCUGGCGGCGUGCUUAACACAUGCAAGUCGAACGAAGCAUUUAAGACAGAUUACUUCGGUUUGAAGUCUUUUAUGACUGAGUGGCGGACGGGUGCGUAACGCGUGGGUAACCUGCCUCAUACAGGGGGAUAGCAGCUGGAAACAGCUGGUACUACCGCAUAAUCGCACAGUACCACAUGGUACAGUGUGGAAAACUCCGGUGGUAUGAGAUGGACCCGCGUCUGAUUAGCUAGUUGGCGGGGUAACGGCCCACCAAGGCGACGAUCAGUAGCCGAGCUGGGAGGGUGACCGGCCACAUUGGGACUGAGACACGGCCCAGACUCGUACGGGAGGGAGGAGUGGGGAAUAUUGCACAAUGGAGGAAACUCUGAUGCAGCGACGCCGCGUGAGUGAAGAAGUAGUUCGCUAUGUAAAGCUCUAUCAGCAGGGAAGAUAGUGACGGUACCUGACUAAGAAGCACCGGCUAAAUACGUG
rnacentral:rRNA from 1 species